CGGUAGUUCAGUUGGUUAGAACGCCAGCCUGUCACGCUGGAGGUCAUGGGUUCGAGCCCCAUUCG
rnacentral:tRNA from 1 species